rnacentral:rRNA from 1 species
CCCUAUAGAAUUUUAUUUAAUAUUUUAUUUAUUAAAUAAUUAUUAAUUUGUAAAUAAGAUGUUAAAUUUGAUUGGGAGGAUUGAUAAAUUAAUUAAACUUUAUUUAAUAUUUAAUUUUGAUUUAAAGAUAGAUAUUGAAUUAUAAUUUAUAAUUAAUAGAGUAAAUUACCUUAGGGAUAACAGCGUAAUAUCUUUUGAUAGACCAUAUAGAUAAAGAUGAUUGCGACCUCGAUGUUGAAUUAAGAUUAAAAUUAAACGCAGAAGUUUAAAUUUUGAGUCUGUUCG